rnacentral:misc_RNA from 1 species
AUUUAAUUAGAGGAGUCAUCUUGGAGAACUUCUGAUUUUUCCCUCCUGAAUGGAACUGAUCUUGAUAUUACUGUGUACCUUGGCUGCCUUCCAUUGGAGGGUUGAUGUGUCUUACAUCCAUCUCUAUUUCAUUCCCUUGGUCGAUACUGCUAUAUGGAAGAAGAAAUAUGAGAAAUAAAAUGCAUUGCUUGAAAUUCUGAGCAAUAGAUUUUGUAAUUUCUUGGCCAUCGGUUAGUGUUAUCUCUUGUAAAAUCCUUUUAUAUUA